UACGUAGGGUGCGAGCGUUGUCCGGAAUUAUUGGGCGUAAAGGGCUCGUAGGCGGUUUGUCGCGUCGGGAGUGAAAACCUUGGGCUUAACUCAGGGCUUGCUUUCGAUACGGGCAGACUAGAGGUAUGCAGGGGAGAACGGAAUUCCCAGUGUAGCGGUGAAAUGCGUAGAUAUUGGGAGGAACACCGGUGGCGAAGGCGGCUCUCUGGACCGGUACUGACGCUGAGGCGCGAAAGCUAGGGGAGCAAACGGG
rnacentral:rRNA from 1 species